GGCCAUAUUCCGUCGACACACUGGUUCUCAUCUGAUCACCGUAGUUAAGUAACGUUGAAUCUGGUCAGUAACUAGAUGGGUUCCCGCUUGGAAAUACCAGGUGUCGUACG